UGUAAGCUCUUAGGAGCAGGUUGUCUCUUUCCUUCCAGGGUCAGCUCUCCGGAGCUUUAUAUUACAUACAUAUAUACAGCAAUAUGCAGCAGGACAGAUGUAAUCCAGGGAGAAAUCCGAUCGCCACAUCUGGGGUCAGGAAGGAAUUUUUUUCCCCCCUGAGGUAGAACUCUCCGGGGGGUUUGUUCGCCUUCCUCUGGAUCUUUGGAUCCGGUGGCUCUCAUCUCAGGACAGUGGUGGACUGGUCUGAAUGACCGCAGCAAGUCCUGUGGUGUGCACCUCUCCAGG